GCAGAGCCCAGCCACCAGGGUCUGCUCCAUGCCUGGUCCCUGGAGAGGCCCUCACCCUCUCUGCUUUCACCCAACCCGACUGACACGGAGUAGGAGGUGGGAAUCAUGCAGGCAGGGAGCUUAGGAAGCCUGGUUCAAGAUUGCUUUGAAUGGCAGGCCCCCUGCUGUGCUCCUGGGGAGAGAGCCUGAAACCUGGAUGCUCGGGAGCCCCUCAGAUCCGUCAUCUGUCCCCGACACCCCUGUGGUGAGCCUUGCCACUGGGCCCUGAGAAGCUCAGAGCAGUCGAGUCAGGGCAGUGGGACAUGACCCAGGUCAGAUGUGGCUUUUCCGUAAUUGUACACCAAUGAUCAAGAGAAAAUGAAGGAUUUUAAUAUCUCCUGUCCCGGCUCCCUAAGGUGUUCCCAGUUUGCGGAGGAUUACGUGCCCUCUCAGCCCAGUAGCACACUUUCCAAAUAAGCCAUCAGACUCCUCCCAAGAUCCUGAAACUGAGGCUCAGAGAGCAGAAGCAGCUUGGCCAAAGUCAUACAACUGGUAGUUGGUAAAGGAGCUGGCCUUGAACUCAGGGAUAUCUUGAAAGCCACUGUUGCUUCUAUGGACUCUAGCCAUUCAAAAGACCCCUCACCUUCUAUAAGACCCCAGGAGAUCCUCAGGGUCCAACUGCUCCCUUGAAAACAGGUCCCAGAUAUAUCUGCCAAAGGUAUGAUUAGGUGCCUAAACACAUACCAUGAGAAAGGGAUUCCAUGUCUUCCAAUCCUGCCCAGAGAUGCAGAGACACCACCACCCAGGGAGAGAUAGCCAGAAACUAAAAUAAGAUGUUAGAGACAGGUGGUUGAUAGUGACAGAUACAGCCACACCAAGACAGGCUCAAAGGGAGGAAGACUGAGGGGAAGCCAGAGACAGAGAGGGACACAUUAGGCCAAAGAAUGAGAGAGAUAGCUGGAAAAGGAGACAAUAGGAGUAGAGGAGGGUACAGGCUGACAUGAAAAAACACCGACAGAUACACUCCAGUAUGCAGACAGACACAUAUAGACCCAUCUGACCUUCACAAGAAACAGACUGUGAAAGCAAGCAAGGCUCAGGCUGUGUGUGGUGUGCGUAUGUGUGUGUGCGUAUUGUGGGGGGAGCAUGCAGAGUCUGUAUAGCUACGCACAUUACACCAGCUGCUUCCAGCAAUUUCAUCUGAUUAAUAAUAAAUGCCCCAUAAUUACAGCCG
rnacentral:lncRNA from 1 species